GAUGAAGAACGUAUUGAAAUGCGAUAAGUAGUGUGAAUUGCAGAAUUCAGUGAAUCAUCGAAUCUUUGAACGCACAUUGCGCCCCUUGGUAUUCCAUGGGGCAUGCCUGUUCGAGCGUCAUUUGUACCCUCAAGCUAAGCUUGGUGUUGGGUGUUUGUCCACUCCCUCGUGUUUGGACUCGCCUUAAAACAAUUGGCAGCCAGUGUUUUGGUAUUGAAGCGCAGCACAAUUUGCGAUUCUAGCCUAGAAUACUAGCAUCCAUCAAGUCAUUUUUAACGCUUGACCUCGGAUCAGGUAGGGAUACCCGCUGAACUUAAGCAUAUCAAUAAGCGGAGGA
rnacentral:misc_RNA from 1 species